rnacentral:rRNA from 1 species
GACGAACGCUGGCGGCGUGCUUAACACAUGCAAGUCGAACGGGCCCGCCCCUGUUUUUGGGGGUGGGUUGAGUGGCGAACGGGUGAGUAUCACGUGAGUAACCUGCCCCCUGCUCCUGGAUAACUGCUUGAAAGGGCGGCUAAUACGGGGUGUGCCGGCUGGUCCGCAUGGGCCUGGUCGGGAUAGUUUCAUCUUCGGGUGUUUCGGUGGGGGAUGGGCUCGCGGCCUAUCAGCUUGUUGGUGGGGUGAUGGCCCACCAAGGCGGUGACGGGUAGCCGGCCUGAGAGGGUGGGCGGCCACACUGGGACUGAGACACGGCCCAGACGCCUGCGGGAGGCAGCAGUGGGGGGUAUUGCACAAUGGGCGGAAGCCUGAUGCAGCGACGUCGCGUGAGGGAUGGAGGCCUUCGGGUGGUGAACCUCUUUCUCCGGUGGUGAAGGCCCUGUCCGGUGCGGCGGGGUUGACGGUAGCCGGGUAUGAAGCGCCGGCUAACUACGUG